AUCACUGCUCUCGAUAGAAUCACUGCUCUUGAUAUAAUCACUGCUCUUGAUAGAAUCACUGCUCUCGAUAGAAUCACUGCUCUCGAUAGAAUCACUGCUCUCGAUAGAAUCACUGCUCUUGAUAGAAUCACUGCUCUUGAUAGAAUCACUGCUCUUGAUAGAAUCACUGCUCUUGAUAGAAUCACUGUUCUUGAUAGUAUCACUGCUCUUGAUAGUAUCACUGCUCUUUAGUAAGCUUUACAUUUCGGCCUCACGGCCUUCCUCAGAGCUUUAAGGGAGAUAUGUUUUGUGUAUAGGAGCUUGCAUUUCACUGUGCCAUUUACACCCGCUGUAUUCUGUGCAUGUGAUUAAUAAACAUUUGAUUUGA